rnacentral:rRNA from 1 species
UUCGGCCAUAGUGACGCACGGGUGAGUAACGCGUGGGAACCUACCCUGAAGUGGGGGAUAACCUCGGGAAACUGAGGCUAAUACCGCAUAUACCCCGAGGGGCAAAGACUUCGGUCGCUUUAGGACGGGCCCGCGCCCGAUUAGGUAGUUGGUGGGGUAAAGGCUUACCAAGCCGACGAUCGGUAGCUGGUCUGAGAGGAUGAUCAGCCACACUGGGACUGAGACACGGCCCAGACUCCUACGGGAGGCAGCAGUGGGGAAUAUUGGACAAUGGGCGCAAGCCUGAUCCAGCCAUGCCGCGUGAGUGAAGAAGGCCUUCGGGUUGUAAAGCUCUUUCAGCGGGGACGAUGAUGACGGUACCCGCAGAAGAAGCCCCGGCUAACUUCGUGCCAGCAGCCGCGGUAAUACGAAGGGGGCUAGCGUUGUUCGGAAUUACUGGGCGUAAAGAGUACGUAGGCGGUCCGUUAAG